ACUUCCGGUCUUAGUUGCCAUAAGAAAACUUUUUAAAUGGAGACUUCAGCAACGAACUGCUGCAUUACAGCCACCUGCUGGUGUGGAUGUACGCGUACAGCCAUCAGGAUCACUACUGAAAACUAGUGAUGGGAAUCGUGAACCGGUUCCCAGUAGUCCAGCUCCUUGGAGUCGUUAGUCUGCCUGCCUGUCAGUUCUUGCACUGUGGUUACGAUCAGCUGGAAUCGUGACACAGUAUCCAGCGUGGAUGCGGACAUUUAUUUCAUUUUUACUGCACAGAAGGAUGAGAGCGUGAUGGUAAAGUGGUGACUGCUCCACGACAGAAACAACUCGGCAGUAUGCUAACGAGCACUUUCAUAAUCACUCUGCAAAUGAUGAGCCAUCGCCAGCUCUAAGGCUUGGAUCAUUCGAUGUCUGCAGCACGCUGCUCUAUGUGUUCUAUCGGUCUGUCGUUGGCAUGAGCUCACCACCCUGGAGGAAGUGAUCAGUGACUGCUGGUAAUCAUGGACUCCCACCCCCUCCAUUACACCCUGGACAAAAGAGCAGUUUCAGCAAGAGGUUCCUUCAGCCUGGCUGUCCCAUGUCGUUACAGGAGGUCGUUCCUUCUGCUGCUGUCAGACUCUUUCAUUAAUCCACUGGGGUCAGAUCCACACAUGUGGAACAAGAUUAAUCACACCUCAGUGCACCCUGUCAUUUUGUACACCACAACAUAUAUUGGCACUUAUACUUGUCCUUUUGUAUGUAUAUUUACAGCUAUAUCUCUAUAAGUAUCUAUCAUAUCUCUGUUUCUACUCUCAUUUUAUACGAGUGCUUGAUGUUUGUUGUAUAUUUGCUGCUAUGACAGCACUAUACUUCUAUUUUUGAACAGAUAUGUAAAAGAAAAUGGAAACUGGAAAAAGACACAAAAUGCAGGAUAAUAAAGGAUUUGUGUUUUUCUUCUGAAAUAACAUCAGUGACACAAUAUUCACAUGA